GAGAUAUUUCUAGAUUAGUGUAGGUGAUAAAAAUAUCUAGAUAUUUUGUAAGAAAAGUGUGGAGUAUUCUAGAAGACGAAUCUCCACCGUAGGAUUAAACAGAUCAUGACCGUCCAUUGAGGAGGUGGAAAGCCUAUAUAUACCCACCCCCUCCUCCACAUUUGUAUCAUCCAAAAAAAAUCCAAGUCUUCUUGAGUUAAUAAAGUAUUCUCCAAGUUAUUCAAGUAAGUCUUCCACUUUCUUAGUUCUAGUAUUUUUGGAGCUAUAUUUUCUUCUUCGUUCUUCUUCAAUUGUGGUUGUGAGUCUUGG
rnacentral:lncRNA from 1 species